UACGUAGGGAGCAAGCGUUGUCCGGAAUCAUUGGGCGUAAAGCGCGCGUAGGUGGCUUCGUAAGUCCGUUGUGAAAGUCAAAGGCUCAACCUUUGAAAGCCGAUGGAUACUGUGGAGCUAGAGUACGGAAGAGGCGAGUGGAAUUCCUGGUGUAGCGGGUGGAAUGCGCAGAUAUCAGGAGGAACACCAGGUGGCGAAAGCACGAUCUGCUGGGCCGAACACUGACACUGAGAGACGAAAGCUAGGGGAGCGAAUGGG
rnacentral:rRNA from 1 species